UGGGGAAUUUUGGACAAUGGGGGAAACCCUGAUCCAGCCAUCCCGCGUGUGCGAUGAAGGCCUUCGGGUUGUAAAGCACUUUUGGCAGGAAAGAAACGUCGCGGGUUAAUACCCCGCGAAACUGACGGUACCUGCAGAAUAAGCACCGGCUAACUACGUGCCAGCAGCCGCGGUAAUACGUAGGGUGCAAGCGUUGAUCGGAAUUACUGGGCGUAAAGCGUGCGCAGGCGGUUCGGAAAGAAAGAUGUGAAAUCCCAGAGCUUAACUUUGGAACUGCAUUUUUAACUACCGGGCUAGAGUGUGUCAGAGGGAGGUGGAAUUCCGCGUGUAGCAGUGAAAUGCGUAGAUAUGCGGAGGAACACCGAUGGCGAAGGCAGCCUCCUGGGAUAACACUGACGCUCAUGCACGAAAGCGUGGGGGAGCAAACAGGAUUAGAUACCCUGGUAGUCCACGCCCUAAACGAUGUCAACUAGCUGUUGGGGGCCUUCGGGCCUUGGUGGCGCAGCUAACGCGUGAAGUUGACCGCCUGGGGGAGUACGGUCGCAAGA
rnacentral:rRNA from 1 species